rnacentral:lncRNA from 1 species
AAACAUUAACACAUGCAUUCCUGUUUUCUUUCAGUUUUUCUUGUCCCUAUCAAAAUUUGAUUGUAAAGGAGUAAAAGCCAAAGGAUCAAUGAAAAGGGAAUGAUAGCACGCAGCAACAGAGGCCCAAACGCGUUAGCAGGAAACCCAGAGAUUGGGAGGAAUACGUUCACUAGGCUGAUAUUUUAGGCUAUUGCAGUAGUGCACAAAUAAUACAUUCUGUUAUAGUGGAAUCGCUUUAUCCUUGCUUUUGGUUUUUAGUGGAAUAUCUAGUGGUACAGGUGUCAAGCAGGGAUAGGGUCUGUUAGCAUUUUCUGUUAUAUGUCUAUGAGUGUGCACCUAUAUAUAUGAAUGAAAAUGGCAGAAAGGAUAUCAGAAAAUUUACCAAAAUCCUGUUAUGUUUCUUUCUUAUCUUCUGCAGGUACCUUUCCUGGCCUUAAAUAUAGGAAACUUUUCUUUUUUUCUCAACACCCUAACAUUUUUGGUGCUUUCAUUGCCUCCACCCAUGGCUGAAAAUACCUGUUCCCAGUCCCUUGCUUGAUUAGAAGAAGCCAUCACUAUCCUCACCCAAACACAGAGCUCCCUCCACUCCAAAUUAGACGAUGUUCUCUCCCGCCUUCACACCCUCGAAUCUAGAUCCCCUGUCUGUCCCCUCUCCCCUUCCACCCCCAGGAUGAAGCUCGAUAUCCCUCACUUCGAUGGGACCAACGCGACGUCUUGGAUUUUCAAGAUAUUGCAGUUUUUCGACUAUCAUGGAACCCCAGAUGACGAAUGCUUGCAAAUCGCUUCCUUCUACCUCGACGGCGCCGCCUUAAGUUGGUUUCAACGGAUGUAUUGAAAUAACCAACUCACCAGUUGGGCUGAUUUUCUCAAUGCUCUGGAAAUGCGAUUUGCUCCAUUGUUCUACGAUGAUCCACAAGGGGCCCUUUUCAAGUUAACCCAGCACGGGUCUGUCAAUUCUUACCUCUCGGAGUUCAAGAACCUUGCAAAUCGUAUUGUCGGUUUGCCUCUGCCGUUCCUCCUUAGCUGUUUCAUAUCGGGACUGACGUCGGACAUCCGUCGUGAGGUCCAGGCGCUACAACCCUUGUCCAUAGUUCAGGCUGCGGCACUAGCGAAGCUACAAGAAGACAAAAUCAACGACGCCAAAUGGCCAUCGUGUCCUUGACACCCCAAUUCCUCCUUCGUCGCCCCUCCCAUUACUUUGGUACCACCCCCUCCACCUCUACUUUUGGCGCCACCACAAACCACCUUUAAAAGGCUCACCGCGUCCGAAAUGGCCACCCGCUGCGAAAAGGGCUUGUGUUACAACUAUUAUGAGCACUAUGGGUCCAAUCACAGGUGUAGAGCCAAAUUCUUCCUUCUCGUCGCUCCUGACGAACCCCUCCCAGAUGAACCCAUUCUGCCUGACCCCGCAAUCCCUGUGCUCUCGGAACUCCCAUCAAAGGAUCCCUCAGCCUCGCACUCUGUUUAGUUGAGCCUACAUGUCAUGGCCAGACAUUCCGUAUCGUCCACCCUGCGCGUCACAGGUUCCGUCCAGGGUCACAAAGUCGUCAUCCUUGUCGACGGCGGGAGUAAGCACAAUUUUAUUCAGGAUCACAUAGCUCGUUUCCUUCACCUGGCGACCCAGCCCACUAAGCAGUUACACGUAAUGGUAGGAAAUGACACUGAGCUUUGCUGCAAUCAGGUGUGCAAAGCAAUUUCCAUAAUUAUCCAGGGCCAUCAAUUCGUUGUGGAUCUUUAUGUUAUGGCAUUGGGGGGUGCAAAUAUCGUUUUCGGGGUAGAAUGGCUCAAAACAUUGGGCCCAAUCACUACAGAUUAUUCGGCCCUUACUAUGUCUUUAAGUUGGAAAAACGAACCAGUAGUUCUUAGUGGCCAAAAGGGACCCAGCCCAGUAGAGGCCACCCAUGCCCAGAUCCGGCGCUUGCUCCAAACAGACUGGGUCGCGGCCUUCUUUCACCUUCAGCUUCACGAGAGUCCUUCUCUUCCCCCUUCUCCAGAUAUUCCUUUACCCAUGGCCCUCCAAAAGCUCCUAGACACUUACCAACCAAUUUUCCAACCACCCACAACCUUACCCCCGACACGAUUACAUGACCACCAGAUUCAUCUUCUACCAAAUUCUCAACCUGUCCAUGUUAAGCCAUACCGCUAUCCAUAUUUCCAAAAACACGAAAUAGAGCUAUAGGUAGAAGAUAUGCUUCGCCGCCAUCUCAUCAGGCCAAGUCGCAGUCCAUACUCUUCUCUAGUCUUGCUUGUUAAAAAGAAAGAUGGCACAUGGUGUUUUUGCAUGGAUUACAGGGCCCUCAACGCCAUCACAGUCAAGGACAGGUUCCCUCUUCCUACUAUAGGUGAACUCCUGGAUGAUUUGCGUAAUACUCAGUGGUUCUCCAGGUUGGACCUUGCCCAGGGAUUUCACCAAAUUAGAAUGUCGCCAACUCACAUCCCCAAAACUGCCUUUCGCACUCACAACGACCACUAUGAAUACAACGUUAUGCCGUUUGGUUUAUGCAACGCUCCAUCAACGUUUCAGGCGACGAUGAAUGACUUGUUCUGGCCCUUUGUCCGUAAGUUCGUUCUCAUCUUCUUUGAUGACAUCCUGGUUUACAGCCUGAAUUUUGAAGAGCACCUUCUACAUUUGGAGUUUGUUCUUCACACACUCCGCUGUGAACAAUUCUUUGUCAAGUUGUCGAAGUGUGCCUUCGGACAGUAGCGCAUUGAUUACCUGGGUCAUAUCGUCUCGGCUAAGGGUGUCGAACCACAGCAUGGGAAGAUACAAGCAAUGCUUGAAUGGCCAAAACUUCUUCCCUCAAAUCCCUUCACGGGUUCCUCGGUCUCACAGGAUUUUACAGGUGAUUCAUUCGCUACUACGCACAAUAGGCGGCACCUCUGACUCGUCUUCUUUGCAAGGACCAAUUCCAGUGGUUUGACAAGGCUCAAGCAGCUUUUGACGCCAUGAAAGCCGCCAUGACUAGCGCUUCAGUUCUAGCAUUACCAGAUUUCAACAACCCCUUCUUCCUCGAAAUUGACGCUUCCGACAGUGGAAUGGGCGCUGUCUUGUCACAACAGGGACAUCCAAUUACCUAUUUUAGCAAACAAUUCUGCCCUAAAUUGUUACGAUCCUCGACCUAUAUCCGUGAGUUGCAUGCAAUUACUUCGGCAGUAAAACGAUGGUGACAAUACCUUCUUGGCCACCCUUUCGUGAUUCUAACAGAUCAUAAGAGUCUUCGAGAACUGAUGACCCAGUCCAUUCAGACGCCAGAACAACAUUACUAUCUCGCAAAGCUUCUAGGCUACGACUAUACUAUCAAGUAUAAGUCAGGGCAAAGCAACAUAGCGGUUGACGCAUUGUCUCGUCGGAAUGAACAAGUAGCAAAAGUCUCCUGGAUAUUAUCUGUGCCUCACUUCCAGUUCCUCGACGACCUCAAAAGUGAAUUAAUGGUUACUCCAGAGUAUGUUACACUGUUCAAGGCUGUCCGUGACUACCCUCUAGAUCAUCCUGGAUUCACCAUCAAUGAUGAACUGCUACUUCACAAGGGGCGUAUUUGGCUGAACAAGGGGAAUUCAUUCAUUCCCCUUUUGCUCGAGGAAUUCCACAAAUCCCUUUUGGGCGGUCAUACUGGGUUCGUCAAAACAUUGAGUCGCCUUCAACAAAGCUUCACAUGGCCAGACAUGAGAAAAGAUGUUCAAUUGUUUGUCAAAUCUUGCACCGAUUGCCAAUACACGAAGUACAUGCCACAAAAACCACAGGGUUUGCUUCAGCCUAUCCCUCCUCCCACUUGUCCUUGGGAAGACAUGGCCUUGGACUUCAUCACAAGCCUACCUUUAUACCAAGGAGCCACUGUAAUUCUAAAAGUGGUGGAUCGCUUUUCAAAGAGUGCUCAUUUUGGUAUUCUUCCCACUCAUUUCAUAGCUCAUAGAGCUGCUCAGCUCUUUAUCGACAUGGUGUGUAAACUACAUGGAUUUCCAAAAAGCUUGAUUUCUGACAGAGACCCAGUUUUCAUGAGCCGUUUCUGGCAAGAGCUCUUUAAAAUCAAUGGCACUAAGCUGCGCAUGAGCACAAUGUAUCAUCCCCAAAGUGAUGGAUAAACCGAGGUUCUGAAUCACAUACUGGAGCAGUACCUGCGGGUUUUUGUGCAUAAUCAGCCCUCGCAAUGGCGAAAGUUCCUCAGUUUGGCAGAAUGGUGUUAUAAUACCUCUAGUCACUCGUCCACCAAUUUAACCCCGUAUGAGGUGACUUAUGGAAAACUACCACCAUCAAUCCCACACUACCUACCUAGGUCCUCUUCUGUCGAGGCGGUGGGUUUUAUGCAAGGUUCAAGGCAAGAAGCCUUCAAAUUGCUUCGGCGAAAGCCUCAACGAGCCCAAGAGUUAAUGAAGAAGGGUUCUGACGCGCACCACCGCGAUGUUUCAUUCAACAUCGAUGACUGGGUCUAUGUGAAGUUGAGACCCUACCGUCAAUCUUCAGUUUCGGGACAAGUCUUUCAUAAAUUGGAAAAGAGGUACUAUGGUCCUUACAAAAUCACCCAGAAGAGAGGACCAGUAGCUUACAAAAUGGCCCUCCCCGAAUCGUCCAAAAUCCACCCUGUUUUCCACUGUUCCCUACUGAAACCACAUUUUGGACCACUACACUCUGAUAACUCUCUCCCGCCAUCAGCAAUUGAAGGUAAACCCAUAAUUCAGCCCAUGACUAUUUUGGAUCGAAAAUGGAAUAAUUCUACCCCACCAAAGCUUCUGGUACUUGUACAAUGGCUUGGGCUAAGUCCUGAAGACUCCACUUGGGAAGAUUGGGCCGAAUUGCAAGACACAUACCACCUUGAGGACAAGGUGUUUCUCAUAGGACCAAGGAAUGAUAGCACGCAGCAACAAAGGCCCAAACGCGUUAGCAGGAAACCCACAGAUUGGGAGGAAUACGUCCACUAGGCUGAUAUUUUAGGCUAUUGCAGUAGCGCACAAAUAAUACAUUUGGAAUCGCUUUAUCCAUGCUUUUGGUUUUUAGAGGAAUAUCUAGUGGUACAGGUGUCAAGCAAGGAUAGGGUCUGUUAGCAUUUUCUGUUAUAUGUCUAUGAGUGUGCACCUAUAUAUAUGAAUGAAAAUGGCAGAAAGGAUAUCAGAAAAUUUACCAAAAUCCUGUUAUGUUUCUUUCUUAUCUUCUGGAGGUACCUUUCUUGGCCUCAAAUACAGGAAGCUUUUCUUUUUUUCUCAGCACCCUAACAGGGAACCUUACAACCUUAAAGUAUGUUGCACUGACUUCAUCUGUUUUGUAAUCUUGAAGGCAUGAUUACGACAUACAGAUAUGAUAGAACUAGGACAUGAAAAUGAUAAAUUUUAAAAAUUGCAAUAUAUUACAUGACUCAUUCU